UAGCCAUGAUGUAGACAUUUGUUCAACAACUCCUUGAACCGCUCCCAGGUCUCGUAGAAGGACUCCCCCUCCUGCUAGUUAUGGAGGGAAGUACUUACUCAGAAA
rnacentral:snoRNA from 1 species